rnacentral:tRNA from 1 species
ACCUGGCUGGCUCAGCUGGUAGAGUAUGUGACUCAUGAUCUCAGGGUCAUGAGUUCAAGCCCCAUAUUGGGUG